rnacentral:ncRNA from 1 species
CCUUACCAAGGGAGAUCUUGGAAUAGACUAGGUUUCUAUGAGCCAAGAAGUCAGCCGAAGUCAUAGUAGCUACUGGAAACAAGCCCUGAAAUACAGGGAAGACUUACAAGGUAGUGAAGGAC